rnacentral:rRNA from 1 species
UACGUAGGGCGCAAGCGUUGUCCGGAAUUAUUGGGCGUAAAGAGCUCGUAGGCGGCUUGUCACGUCGGGUGUGAAAGCCCGGGGCUUAACCCCGGGUCUGCAUCCGAAACUGGCAGGCUAGAGUACGUAAGAGGGUCGCGGAAUUCCCGGUGUAGAGGUGAAAUUCGUAGAUAUCGGGAGGAACACCGGUGGCGAAGGCGGCGACCUGGGACGAUACUGACGCUGAGGUGCGAAAGCGUGGGGAGCAAACAGG